rnacentral:tRNA from 1 species
CUCCUUUCUAAGGAAACCAAGUAAACUCAAUCAUCUUCAGUUUUGAAAGACUUAGGCAACUAAGUUUUUCUUCGUGACUUCACGAAGGGCCUAUAGCUCAGUUGGUUAGAGCACACGCCUGAUAAGCGUGAGGUCGGUGGUUCAAGUCCAUUUAGGCCCACCAGAGUUAUAGGUUUCGUAAGAACACAAAUUCUUUGAAAAUUAGGUAAAUAAUAGUUAUUUAUCCGGAACAUUAAAGGAAAUAAGA